rnacentral:rRNA from 1 species
UACAGAGGGUGCUAGCGUUGUUCGGAAUCACUGGGCGUAAAGCGCACGUAGGCGGAUUGUUAAGUCGGGGGUGAAAUCCUGAGGCUCAACCUCAGAACUGCCUUCGAUACUGGCAAUCUCGAGUCCGGAAGAGGUUGGUGGAACAGCUAGUGUAGAGGUGAAAUUCGUAGAUAUUAGCUAGAACACCAGUGGCGAAGGCGGCCAACUGGUCCGGUACUGACGCUGAGACGCGAAAGCGUGGGGAGCGAACAGG